rnacentral:rRNA from 1 species
CCUACGGGAGGCAGCAGUGAGGAAUAUUGGUCAAUGGGCGCGAGCCUGAACCAGCCAAGUAGCGUGAAGGAUGACUGCCCUACGGGUUGUAAACCUCUUUUAUCAAGGAAUAAAGUGCGGCACGUGUGCCUUUUUGUAUGUACUUUAUGAAUAAGGAUCGGCUAACUCCGUGCCAGCAGCCGCGGUAAUACGGAGGAUCCGAGCGUUAUCCGGAUUUAUUGGGUUUAAAGGGAGCGUAGAUGGGUUGUUAAGUCAGUUGUGAAAGUUUGCGGCUCAACCGUAAAAUUGCAAUUGAUACUGGCAGUCUUGAGUGCAGGUGAAGUAGGCGGAAUUCGUGGUGUAGCGGUGAAAUGCUUAGAUAUCACGAAGAACUCCGAUUGCGAAGGCAGCUUGCUAAACUGCGACUGACAUUGAUGCUCGAAAGUGUGGGUAUCGAACAGGAUUAGAUACCCUAGUAGUC